GAUAUAUCUUGUGGAGGGUGACCCAAAUUCUUCCGAAGUUGCCGAAAGCAUCAAAACAGCCAAUACAAGAACCAUGGAGAAAUGAUAAAUUUGAUUCACGCCUGUUGCAUCCCAGGUUUUUUCAUCUACAAGUCCCUAAGCACAUUUCCUAAAUAGAACUUGAAUGGGUGCCUUUUUAUUUUAUUUUAUUCUACUCAUUCUGGCUUCAACACUCUGUUUUGACUAGGAGGGCGACCGAAGUGCACAAGAAGAGAUGCUUAGUAGGCAGAGCAAAUAAAUGAUCAAUUUAGUUGCUAGUAAGAAUAUAUUCAACUUAGUCUGGGGCAAAUGAGUGUUUUAAUCCCCUUGAACUAACAAGGCUUCAUGGGUCCUGAAGCUUGUAUUUCAUGAAGCAAAAGCAAUCUGCUUUAAACUUCGAGGAGAUUUCACAAUAGAGCACUGUAAAUAAGAGAUAAGAGUGUGGAGGAUUUGUUGAAGAGCUUUCUUGUGUUAAGCAGAGUUUUGUUUAAUUGUUAGGACUUGGACGCUAUUUCACAUUCUCUAUUGAAAUGUUCAGAAAAGAUAUGCCAAUCAGUCUUAUUCUCCAAGUUUGUUGUUA